rnacentral:tRNA from 1 species
GUUUCUGUAGUGUAGUGGUUAUCACGUUCGCCUAACACGCGAAAGGUCCCUGGUUCUAAACCGGGCAGAAACA